rnacentral:rRNA from 1 species
GUAAUAGCUCACUGGUCGAGUCGGCCUGCGCGGAAGAUGUAACGGGGCUAAACCAUGCACCGAAGCUGCGGCAGCGACGCUUAUGCGUUGUUGGGUAGGGGAGCGUUCUGUAAGCCUGUGAAGGUGGCCUGUGAGGGUUGCUGGAGGUAUCAGAAGUGCGAAUGCUGACAUAAGUAACGAUAAAGCGGGUGAAAAGCCCGCUCGCCGGAAGACCAAGGGUUCCUGUCCAACGUUAAUCGGGGCAGGGUGAGUCGACCCCUAAGGCGAGGCCGAAAGGCGUAGUCGAUGGGAAACGGGUUAAUAUUCCCGUACUUGGUGUUACUGCGAAGGGGGGACGGAGAAGGCUAUGUUGGCCGGGCGACGGUUGUCCCGGUUUAAGCGUGUAGGCUGGUUUUCCAGGCAAAUCCGGAAAAUCAAGGCUGAGGCGUGAUGACGAGGCACUACGGUGCUGAAGCAACAAAUGCCCUGCUUCCAGGAAAAGCCUCUAAGCAUCAGGUAACAUCAAAUC